CCUAUGGGGUCCAAAAAGGUAAAGCUUCAGUCUGCUACAGGUAAACUCAUUCCCAUGCCUUUGCACUCAGCUGUGGCGGCAUCCAUGCAGGGAUAGAGGAUCAGGCGGGCUGCAGCGGAGGAGUCCGCUCUUUACUUUAAGGCACUGACUUCCUACACUGAGCAGCCACCGGACGCUGGCUUUCUCCGGAAGGUGUUCACUAGUCCACAGAUGAACUGGGAGCUGAAGCCAAGAUGCAGAUUAGUGGAAAGAGUCUGUAGAAUCAAGGAACCCUUAAAACAAGGACCUGGAGGGUGCAGGGAUCCCUGCUGCCUUGGCUGCCUCUGCCUGGCCUUCAUGUAGUCUCACAUUUCACUACCUGGGAUGGUUCGAAUGCUUUGUUGCCAUCAUCACCGGGUGUGUGCAGGGGAGGACAUGAGCGCACACACAUGCAGCUGAGUUCCUCUUCUCCUCACAUCAGCUGGCAACGGAGCGGGAGGCUCCGCUCGGCGGGCUGGGACCCACAGCCCUAGGUGGCCCAGAGACCAGUGGAGGGGGAACACAACUUCUAGGUCACCAGAAUGCUGCGGCCUGGCGGGGCGGGCAGCUCCUUAUCCUGCAGAACUGGGAGCUUGGAAAGUUCUUACCUUCGGUUCAUGGGGCUCCACUGUCCUCGCCUUUUCCUAACGGGGUCUGUAACUAAGACGUGGAGCAUAUGGAGGACACCAGCAUUUAGAUGUCCAUUAUCUACUCACUGGGACAGCACUGGCUGCCCAUCCCACACAAUCAGGCAAAUGUCUGACUGAACAGAUGGAUCUCACAAAGCUGCCAGUGUGCCAGUGACCGCGGGCACCGCCAGGCAGGCAGGGGAGGACACGCAUGGGGCUGGGUGCUACAGGGGCAGCCAAGCUCUCCCCAGCCCACAGGGCAGUACUGGACACGUUGCAGGUCACCCUGAAACCCUGGGGAAUGGAGUUUCUCCUCCUCUGAAGGGUAAGUAACCCCCAAAGCACUGACUUCCCAAAAAUGGAGUCACUGUGUUUCAGAUCUGGGAGAACAUGAUGGCAAAAGGAAACCGCAGCCAGCCCUGCCCUGCCUCACACCGCAAGAGCCUGUCCCAUUAUCUCUGAAAUAACCGACACACAGUGCAACACACGGAAGGUUCCAGAAGAUGGCGACAAAGGCCACUCCAGUACCACUGCUCACGGUCAGACUGAGCCAGCCUAGGUGACAACCCGCUCAUCUCUGCAGUCAGCCCACAGGCGGGAUGGAGCCAGGUCAUUACAUUCUGACUGGCUGCAAUGAUCUGUUUCAAGAAAGCCUUCAGGGCAGUCUCCACAAGACAUUCAGAAACUCAAGACACCCCAGCCGAAAAGGGACACACCCUCAUCACGAUAGUUUUAGCUGAGGGUGGAAGGGCCAACCUGUGCCUUGGGCCUCAGCUCCCAGUACCACUGUGGAUGAGUGAGCGCCUUCCAGAGAAAGCAAAGCAUUUCUCACUCAGCACACUGACAGUCACACUUCACACUUCUAAUACCCAGAUGUGCACCGUAGAAUAGCAUUACAAAUUGCUAAACUGAAAUUUAACCUAAGUGUGUGAUUACAAGUCCCCAAAAAUUCCUGUCUUGCUGGGGAUUUACUUAAGAACAGAGCAUACUAUAGCAAUCCACCAGGCCAGCCCUUCCCAGGUGAGAUGUCCCAUGAGGUAGUCAGGAAUCAAACAUGGGAAGGGGACAGGGAAUCAUGGAGCAGGUGAUGGGGCAGCUGGCUGGUUCUUUCCACAUCCCAAAGCUGAGGAGGGAAGCCAGUGUGCCUCUUGGCCACAGACUGCCUCGAUUUCUCCUAUGACUGCAUAUACCUGGGCAUUUGAAUCACGUUCCUAAAAAGUGAACUGCGACCUGAAGUUCACAUGUGGAACUGACAGAGCACGAAAUGCUGAUGUAUACCUGGCCAUUUAAAUCAC